UACGGAGGGUGCAAGCGUUAUCCGGAUUCACUGGGCUUAAAGGGUGCGUAGGCGGCUCUGAAAGUCAGCGGUGAAAUCUCCGUGCUUAACAUGGAAACUGCCAUUGAUACUUCAGGUCUUGAAUUUUCUGGAGGUUAGCGGAAUAUGUCAUGUAGCGGUGAAAUGCUUAGAUAUGACAUAGAACACCAAUUGCGAAGGCAGCUAACUACGGGAACAUUGACGCUGAGGCACGAAAGCGUGGGGAUCAAACAGG
rnacentral:rRNA from 1 species